GACCGUCCUCAUUCCUCGGAUACACUGCAGGCCUGUGGACAGGAGCUUUGUAAAAUGGAGGUGGACGUCAGACGGUGUAAAAGGAUGACUGAAUGUUUUGAACUUCAAGUACUAUGCUGGUUGCAGGAAGAUCGCAACACAUGAUGCAAAUGGAGCUGAAGGAGGCGCACUUGCACGUGUUGAAUUGACCGACGACAUCCAGAGCAGAUAUAGUGCUCACUUUAUUGGAUCCAGUAUUCACAUUCCCAGAUCAGUUACAGAAACAGUAUCUGGUGCUGUGAAAGUUCAAGUGAAGGCAUAUGAACAGCUUGCUGUCAGAAUCUUCACAGCCUUGUUGAAAUGGGAUUGUGACAGACUUGAGCAGAAGAUGUCGUACAAGCAUGGUUAUGCUCAUUCUCUUUGGAGCCUGGUUUGAACAGAAGCGACGAGGGACUGACUGAGGAAUGGGCUGGAUGUGAGACUGACCUUGGUGCUGUGUUUUCUGGAUGAUGACCAAGAGCCCAUGGACAAGAACUUGUCAGAUGUUUCUCAACAUUAUUCCAAUAAAUAUUACAACUGUGUCAAUAUUGUGCCUGAUUGGA